rnacentral:rRNA from 1 species
CCUACGGGAGGCAGCAGUAGGGAAUAUUGCUCAAUGGGGGAAACCCUGAAGCAGCAACGCCGCGUGGAGGAUGAAGGUUUUCGGAUUGUAAACUCCUUUUGUUAGAGAAGAUAAUGACGGUAUCUAACGAAUAAGCACCGGCUAACUCCGUGCCAGCAGCCGCGGGAAUACGGCGGGUGCAAGCGUUACUCGGAAUUACUGGGCGUAAAGAGCGCGUAGGCGGGAUAGCAAGUCAGAUGUGAAAUCCUAUGGCUUAACCAUAGAACUGCAUUUGAAACUGGUAUUCUAGAGUAUGGGAGAGGUAGGUGGAAUUCUUGGUGUAGGGGUAAAAUCCGUAGAGAUCAAGAGGAAUACUCAUUGCGAAGGCGACCUGCUAGAACAUAACUGACGCUGAUGCGCGAAAGCGUGGGGAGCAAACAGGAUUAGAUACCCUUGUAGUC